rnacentral:rRNA from 2 species
UUGACCUCAAAUCAGGUAGGACUACCCGCUGAACUUAAGCAUAUCAAUAAGCGGAGGAAAAGAAACUAACAAGGAUUCCCCUAGUAACUGCGAGUGAAGCGGGAAAAGCUCAAAUUUGAAAUCUGGCAGUUCUUGAACUGUCCGAGUUGUAAUCUAGAGAAGUGUUACCUGUGCUGGACCGUGUACAAGUCUCCUGGAAUGGAGCAUCACAGAGGGUGAGAAUCCCGUCUUUGACAUGGACUGCCUGUACGAUAUGGUGCGCUCUCGAAGAGUCGAGUUGUUUGGGAAUGCAGCUCAAAAUGGGUGGUAAAUGCCAUCUAAAGCUAAAUAUUGGCGAGAGACCGAUAGCGAACAAGUACCGUGAGGGAAAGAUGAAAAGAACUUUGGAAAGAGAGUUAAACAGUACGUGAAAUUGCUGAAAGGGAAACGCUUGAAGUCAGUCGCGUCGGCUAGAAAUCAGCCUUUGCUUUUGCUUGGUGUACUUUCUGGUUGAUGGGUCAGCAUCAAUUUUGACCAUCGGAUAAAGUCAUUGGGAAUGUGGCAUCUUAGGAUGUGUUAUAGCCCAUUGUCGCAUACGGUGGUUGGGAUUGAGGAACUCAGCAUGAGCGAGAUGACGCUCGUGCUUAGGAUGCUGGCAUAAUGGCUUUAAUCGACCCGUC